GAUGAACGCUGGCGGCGUGCCUAAUACAUGCAAGUCGAGCGAACGGACGAGAAGCUUGCUUCUCUGAUGUUAGCGGCGAACGGGUGAGUAACACGUGGAUAACCUACCUAUAAGACUGGGAUAACUUCGGGAAACCGGAGCUAAUACCGGAUAAUAUUUUGAACCGCAUGGUUCAAAAGUGAAAGACGGUCUUGCUGUCACUUAUAGAUGGAUCCGCGCUGCAUUAGCUAGUUGGUAAGGUAACGGCUUACCAAGGCAACGAUGCAUAGCCGACCUGAGGGGGUGAUCGGCCACACUGGAACUGAGACACGGUCCAGACUCCUACGGGAGGCAGCAGUAGGGAAUCUUCCGCAAUGGGCGAAAGCCUGACGGAGCAACGCCGCGUGAGUGAUGAAGGUCUUCGGAUCGUAAAACUCUGUUAUUAGGGAAGAACAUAUGUGUAAGUAACUGUGCACAUCUUGACGGUACCUAAUCAGAAAGCCACGGCUAACUACGUG
rnacentral:rRNA from 1 species